GACGAACGCUGGCGGCGUGCUUAACACAUGCAAGUCGAACGGAGAAGGAGGGAGCUUGCGCGGUGCGGGACAGGGGCGAGGGGGUGUGUCACACGUGAGCAAUGCGCCCGGCACUCGGGGAAAAUCGUGGGAAAGGGCGUCUUAUAGCGGAGACGACGCGGGAGGGUGGCGGCGGUGGGUGGAAAGAGCUGCGGUUCGGGAUGGGCGCGCGGCCUAUCAGCUUGUUGGUGGGGUAGCGGCUCACCAAGGCGGCGACGGGUAGCCGGCCUGAGAGGGUGACCGGCCACACUGGGACUGAGACACGGCCCAGACUCCUACGGGAGGCAGCAGUGGGGAAUAUUGCACAAUGGGCGGAAGCCUGAUGCAGCAACGCCGCGUGAGGGACGACGGCCUUCGGGUUGUAAACCGCUUUUGGCUGGGAAGAAGCGAGAGUGACGGUACCUGCUGAAAAAGCACCGGCUAACUACGUG
rnacentral:rRNA from 1 species